rnacentral:rRNA from 1 species
CUACGGGUUGCUGCAGUGAGGAAUAUUGCACAAUGGGGGAAACCCUGAUCCAGCAAUGCCGCGUGUGUGAAGAAGGCCUGCGGGUUGUAAAGCACUUUCGGUUGGGAGGACUGCUUCUAGCACUAAUAUUGUUGGAAGUUGACGUUACCUUCAGAAGAAGCACCGGCUAACUCCGUGCCAGCAGCCGCGGUAAUACGGAGGGUGCACGCGUUAAUCGGAAUUACUGGGCGUAAAGCGCGCGUAGGCGGCUAGAUCAGUCGGGUGUGAAAGCCCCGGGCUUAACCGGGGAACUGCAUCCGAUACUGUCUAGCUUGAGUACAGGAGAGGAGAGUGGAAUUCCACAUGUAGCGGUGAAAUGCGUAGAUAUGUGGAGGAACACCAAUGGCGAAGGCAGCUCUCUGGCCUGAUACUGACGCUGAGGUGCGAAAGCGUGGGGAGCAAACAGGAUUAGAUACCCUAGUAGUC